rnacentral:rRNA from 1 species
UACGGAGGAUGCGAGCGUUAUCCGGAUUUACUGGGUGUAAAGGGAGCGUAGACGGCCAGACAAGUCAGAAGUGAAAGCCCAGGGCUCAACCCUGGGACUGCUUUUGAAACUGCCGGGCUGGAGUGCAGGAGAGGUAAGCGGAAUUCCUAGUGUAGCGGUGAAAUGCGUAGAUAUCAGGAGGAACACCGGCGGCGAAGGCGGCCUGCUGGACUGAAACUGACGUUGAGGCUCGAAAGCGUGGGGAGCAAACAGG